AUGUGCACACAUGCAUGUGCACACACGCACAUGCAUGUAUGUGUGGGCAUGCAUGUAUGCAUGUGCAUGUGUGUGUGCA
rnacentral:pre_miRNA from 1 species